rnacentral:rRNA from 1 species
UACGUAGAGUGCAAGCGUUGUCCGGAAUUAUUGGGCGUAAAGAGCGUGUAGGCGGAUAGAUAAGUCAGAAGUGAAAUCCAAUAGCUUAACUAUUGAACUGCUUU